rnacentral:rRNA from 1 species
AACGAACGCUGGCGGCAGGCUUAACACAUGCAAGUCGAACGCCCCGCAAGGGGAGUGGCAGACGGGUGAGUAACGCGUGGGAACGUGCCCUUCGCUUCGGAAUAGCCCCGGGAAACUGGGAGUACUACCGGAUACGCCGUAUUGGGAAAGAUUUAUCGGCGAAGGAUCGGCCCGCGUUGGAUUAGCUAGUUGGAGGUGUAAUGGACCCCCAAGGCUACGAUCCAUAGCUGGUCUGAGAGGAUGAUCAGCCACACUGGGACUGAGACACGGCCCAGACUCCUACGGGAGGCAGCAGUGGGGAAUCUUGGACAAUGGGCGCAAGCCUGAUCCAGCCAUGCCGCGUGAGUGAAGAAGGCCUUAGGGUUGUAAAACUCUUUCGCCGGAGAAGAUAACGACGGUAUCCGGAGAAGAAGCCCCGGCUAACUUCGUGCCAGCCGCCGCCGUAAAAC